CAGCAUCUUCAGCACAGUUUUCAGAUGAUGAGUCAUUUGCGAACGACAGAUUUUCAUUAUAGGAGUCAUCUUUGGAGCAGGAUGUGUUGGACUAGACUCAGGGGUUGCAAAUUGAAAUACUUCUCAAGAUUCAUCAGCCAACGUAACUGGGUGAAUCGGGCAUAUGUAAGAAAACAGGGACUGGAGGGUACUGUCUCGCUGAACUCUACAGGGAUAAGCCAAGGUAUUUGUCUGGGGAUGGCUGUGCACCCAGAAGGCCAUUCCCUCCAUGAAGAUACAUGACGGAGGUACCUGGUCCUACCUGGAUUCUUGGGCGUGCGGGCAGCAGCAGCAGCAGCCACAGUGAACUUCAUCCUAAGGAAAUUAAGCACACAUUGCUUGAGGCUGCUGUGGAGGUGCCAGGUACUGGGGUUUCUGUAGUGGAUAAAACACAAAAAUACCAGCCCUCAUGGUGAAAAGAGAAUGACAACAAACAAGAUCAAUUAGAUCUAUGCAGCAAAACCAAGACUUCGUGCACAUCUGUGGUUGUGACCAGUUGGAGAGACAUUAGGAGAAGAGAUACUAUGUUCACUCCUCACAGCUGUACCAGGGACCUGAGAUAUUCCAUCACUAUUCUAUGAGGAGCUAUGGUGCAUUACUCACGAGUGACAGAACCAACGAGCUUCAUCUCCCAAGAGGCUGGUGCAUCUGUUUAAAGGAGCAGGCGCUAUGCAGAGCCGCCCCCACCCCACCCUGCAUGGCGGAGUGCAGUGGGGGAAGAGAUGGGAUUUCACCAUGUUGCCCAAGCUGGUUUUGAACUCCUGGGCUCAAGAAAUACACCUGCUUCGGCCUCCCACAGUGCUGGGAUUACAGGUGUGAGCCACUGCACCCAGCCUAAUUAAGAUGGGGAAACUGAGGCACAGAGAGGUUAGAGAUGUGCCUGAAGCCACACAGCUUGCAAGUGGUGGAGCUGGGAUUUGAACUUGUCAAUCUGGCUGCAGAGCUGAGCUCUUGGAGACUAGGUUUUACUGCCUAGUAGCAUGUAAGCCUGGAACUGCCGGCAGUCAUUUUGUAAGUUUGCAGAGUGAACCUCAAUGAGCAAGAAGCAGAGAGGAAAGCAGUACUAAGAGAUGCAAAAGAGUCUGUGUUCCAGCAAUGGGAUCUGAAGUCCUGGAUCAAACCUUACCUGGUGCCAAGAUUUACCCAUCAUACAUGCCAGUUAUAAGACCCAAAUUUACCCUUUUUGGGGCAUUGAGUUUGAAUGAGUAUUUUUGUUUGUUUUGGCAUCAGAAAGACUCCUAAUUAAUACACAGUAUGACAUUGACCAAGACGCUUCCUUUCUCUAGGACUCAGUUUUCUUAUCUGUAAAGUAAAGGGUUCAUCAACAUUCUUUGGUUGAAUCUUACCUGAAACAUUUUGUCAGCCUUCAUCAGUCUCAUCUGAGCCUUUGUUUCCACAGAACAAAGCCAUUUAAGGAAGGAGGGGAAAGUGUCAUGGAGUCUUACUGUCCUGAGUGCAAACAUGGUCUCUGUAUUGUCCUUAUCUGUUCAU